rnacentral:tRNA from 1 species
GCCCUGGUGGCAGAAUGGUUAAGCGUUUGACUGCUAAUCAAAAGAUCGGUGGUUCGAACCCAUACAAUGGUU